rnacentral:lncRNA from 11 species
UAACCAAUUUAACAGCUAACAUGUGUUUUCUUUUGGAACAGGGAUUCGAAUCAGAAAAUUGGUGUGUAUUGGUCUGCGUUUAUCUUCCAAGUCAUGAAUUCAGAAGAAAUUAUUGAAUGCAUAGAAAACCUAUGGUAUCGUGUUAAAAAGAUGGUGAAUAAAAAAGAUAGUCAAGAUCUUUCCAAAGAAGAGGCAAGAAUUGUAGAAGAAGUCAGACAGGGGACUCUGGAGAUCUUACAAGAUGCUCUGAAGAAAAAAGACCGGGUGCUGAUGAAGGCACCUGAGAGAGUUGUCCUUCGGGGGGAAGAGAGGACGUCUUUCUGGAUGAAACGCCAUUCCAUCCUGACAGAAGAUAUAGUUCAAAGCCUGAUUGCAGAACUCAAGAAAGUCUACUUCAAGAAGGAUCAUGGAAGAAGUAAUACUGCAUAUGUGUUGCAUGGACCCGAAAGGAGAAGAACCAUCUACUUGUGUGACUUAUUCUGGAAGCGUUCAAAGUAUCUCACAAGACGUUCCCAGCCAGGUGUCCUCAUUCACGAAGUGGCUCACUUCCUGGGAGCUAAAGACUUCACCUAUGAAGAAAACACCCUCAUUGUUGGGUGCAAAGGCUGCCUGAUAAAGAACAGUCCAGCACACAGUUCGACUCCUUCUCGGGAGGACGACUGGGAGGGGGCCCUGAGGAAAGCCUUUCUGAAUGCCAACAACAUCGCGCACGAGUUUGAGCUGACCAUAAACCACAAAGGCAGCUAUGUGAAUGGCAGGUACUCCUGCUGUGGGGAGGUGAAGAGAUAUUCUGUGUGUGAGUCUUCUGUGCCUGACUACUUCCAUAUGUGUGAUGCUGGUGAAAGGUGGGAAACUGUGAUACUUUUGAAUGAAUUACAUCGAAAAUCAAGGGCCCUUGCGCCCAAGCUGAGACGAAUCAACAGAAUCGUUGAUGAAAUUGAUGAAUGUCUGAAGGAUGUUCACAUGGGUAUUUCCGUUGCAGUUGGUGGAGGAACAGGGGCUGCAGUGACAUACUUUCUAAGCGUUUCCCUGCCUCUUGCAACAGGACCUCAGUAAAGAAGCAAAGCAGGAAGUAUAUGCCAUCUGCAAUGAAUACCAGCAUUUUCGGGAUAUCCAGAGAAUUAUAACUUUACUAAAUGGAACAAACUGCCACAGAGAUUUUCAAUCAAAUGUGUAUACUCAACUAGACAAGAUAAGGAGGAAAAAGAAUUGAGGAAGGAUGAAGAGGAGGAAAGUUUGUAUUUUUGAUUUAGCUCUCAAUGUGGCCUGGAAACAGUAGGCAAUUGCAAACUGCUCCUUUCCUUGUUAUCUUUAAGUCUCAAAUAAAAAAAUUCUUGUUUUCCAUAGCUUUUGGAAUUUUAGUUUGAUAUUGUUUUAUUAAAUAUGUAGGUCAAUUUGCUUAAUAUUGUUUUUCUGUAUUUUAUCAAGAUAACUGGUUAGAAUUUUAUUGUACAGUUUUAGCUUUUAUUAUUCUUUUCAGUCCACUACCCUCUUUGUGUAUAUUUGUAUACACAUAGAUAUAUUUGGUCCAUAGUUUUGUCUGUAUAGUACCAAAUUGUGCAUUGAUGGCACUAUGUUAAUUAAUUCACUUGCAGUUAAGUUGGGGUUAUUAAUGAUUACGUUUAAUUUGAUAUUUCAGAUAAAUAAUUAACACCUAUUACCAGAAAAAUGGGGGAAAUCCCACCUAUUUUUCUCCUCUCUGUUUGCACCACAUGGCUGGUUUGAACUUAGGGUACAAGAGGCAACCGCUGUGUGAAACGUUUAAAAACCUUAUUCCUUAUACUCCACACUCUUUUCUUUCUUUCUUUUCCUAUGUUGUAAUGAUUAAUAUAAUUUAUAUUCUUCAUUUAGAGCAGAGAUAAAGAAACUCGCCCUUUAUAGGCUCACACUUUGCUGGAUAAGGUAGUUCCUAUGGCUGGGUUGUUGUGUGUUUUCCGGGCUGUAUGGCCAUGUUCCAGAAGUAUUCUCUCCUGACGUUUCAGGCAUCCUCAGAGGUUGUGAGAUAUAACGUCAGGAGAGAAUACUUCUGGAACAUGGCCAUACAACCCAGAAAACACACAACAACCCUGUGAUUCUAGCCAAGAAAGCCUUCAACAGUUCCUAUGGCUCUUAGUAAGAAGCUUCUUCCAGUCCUUCCAUCAAUACAAGGGCUCCUUUUCCUCUUUCCCCCCUAAAGAGAACAUACAGUACUUUGUUUUUUAAAUAUUGUAUUUUUUAAGUUGUCAGCUGCUUUGCAUUUUGGUCAAGUGAUAAAAGUGGAAUCAUCAUCAUUCAAAGGACUUGGGUGGGGAAACAGGAAGAGAAUUGACUGGUCUUUUUAGGCCAGUGGUUCUCAACCUGUGGGUCCCCAAGUGCUUUGGCCUACAACUCCCAGAAAUUCCAGCCAGUUUACCAGCAGUUAGGAUUUCUGGGAAGUGAAGGCCAAAACAUCUGGGAUUCCACAGGUUGAGAAGCUCUGCUUUAGACACUUUCCAAAUCUUCAUUCAUCUCCUCCCCAAGGACAUGAUUCCAAGUAUUUUUUUGCUUAGCCAAAGGUGAGGGCUAGAUGAAGGAGUUUAAAAAAGAAGUUGGGAAUGAUGAGAAAUUUACUCUCUCCUUCCUCAGUGUUUCCCUCCUUCAAAGCCAUUGAAGAAGCCAUACAUCUUGUAAAAGCAGACACAUGGCUUGGCUUCAUCAAACACAUGCAUGUAACAUGCAGGGCUUCCCUUCAGUAUUUCAAGCACAACUGAGUAUUGUUAGAGUUGCUAAGACGCUCUUAAGCAGACUAGGUGAAGGGGUUGCUGAAAACAUCUAGUUGAAAAUAUUAAGAGAAAUGUUGAAUUGGAGAGACCUUGACCACACAUAGUAACUAAAGACCCCACUUCUGUGGAUAUCCAAAGAAUAUCCACUCCUCUAUUUAUAGAGGAAGGCUUUGGGUGCACCUUUCAGACUUGGCUGGUUUUAGGAUUGAAAUACAAGGAUUUUGUUGGAACAGUAUAUAGCCAUUUCCCAGGAAGUUCUUGGAGCUUAUUUAUAGUACAAAAAAAUAUUAGUUUUAUUUCACUUUACCUGUUAUGGGAUCGUGCAAAGUUAUAUUGGAAACUGUAAAUUCCUCACGAAUAUACAGUUCCCAGGGCAACUGAACUACACAUAUAUCAGGUUCUAAUCUAGAUAUAACCAGAUUUCUGUUGUCAGCACAAAGCUUGUUUCAGUAACCGUCAUAACACACUCACUAAAUGUGUGCCACAAAUCAAUACUUCCUCUAUCCAAAUCAUGUUACACAGGGAGAAUGAGGUAGGAUGACAUUAUGGCUAUAAUGGGCAAUGAAUGACUAUUUAAUUUGAUGUUGUAUUUUUAUUGCCAGGGAUGGAAUAAAAAGCUUGAGAGACUUUCUGCCUCAUGUGCAAAAACAACUCAGUUAAUGUAUUGCAAU